GCCUGGUUGGCUCAGUUGGUUAAGCAACUGCCUUUGGCCCAGGUCAUGAUCCUGGAGUCCCGGGAUCGAAUCCUGAAUCAGGCU
rnacentral:tRNA from 1 species